rnacentral:rRNA from 1 species
AAUCAACGCUGGCGGCGUGCCUAACACAUGCAAGUCGAGCGAGAAAGUGUAGCAAUACAUGAGUACAGCGGCGCACGGGUGAGUAACACGUGGGUAAUCUGCCCUUGAGUGGGGAAUAACACCGGGAAACCGGUGCUAAUACCGCAUACGAUCACGAUGUCUGCGGAUGUUGUGAUGUAAGGAGCAAUUCGCUCUUGGAGGAGCCCGCGGCUGAUUAGCUAGUUGGUAAGGUAACGGCUUACCAAGGCAACGAUCAGUAGCCGGUCUGAGAGGACGGGCGGCCGCGCUGGAACUGAGACACGGUCCAGACUCAUACGGGAGGCAGCAGUGGGGAAUUUUUCGCAAUGGGGGCAACCCUGACGAAUCAACGCCGCGUGGGUGAUGAAGUCUCUUGGGACGUAAAACCCUUUCGACGGGGAAGAAACCGCAAGGUUGACGGUACCCGUAGAAGAAGCCCCGGCUAACUCCGUGCCAGCAGCCGCGGUAAGAC